rnacentral:rRNA from 1 species
UACGUAGGUGGCGAGCGUUGUCCGGAUUUACUGGGCGUAAAGCGCACGCAGGCGGCUCGAUAAAUUAGAAGUGAAAGCCCCGGGCUUAACCUGGGAAUUGCUUUUAAGACUGUCGGGCUAGAAUCCAGAAGAGGGUAGUGGAAUUCCGAGUGUAGAGGUGAAAUUCGUAGAUAUUCGGAAGAACACCAGUGGCGAAGGCGACUACCUGGUCUGGCAUUGACGCUCAUGUGCGAAAGCGUGGGGAGCAAACAGG